rnacentral:rRNA from 1 species
UGGACUUGACAUCCUAUAAAGGAUUUAGAGAUAGAUUUGUGCUAGUUUACUAGAAUAUAGUGAC